rnacentral:rRNA from 1 species
GACGAACGCUGGCGGCGUGCUUAACACAUGCAAGUCGAACGGAAAGGCCCUGCUUUUGUGGGGUGCUCGAGUGGCGAACGGGUGAGUAACACGUGAGUAACCUGCCCUUGACUUUGGGAUAACUUCAGGAAACUGGGGCUAAUACCGGAUAGGAGCUCCUGCUGCAUGGUGGGGGUUGGAAAGUUUCGGCGGAUGGGGAUGGACUCGCGGGUUAUCAGCUUGUUGGUGGGGUAGUGGCUUACCAAGGCUUUGACGGGUAGCCGGCCUGAGAGGGUGAACGGCCACAUUGGGACUGAGAGACGGCGCAGACUCCUACGGGAGGCAGCAGUGGGGAAUAUUGCACAAUGGGCGGAAGCCUGAUGCAGCGACGCCGCGUGCGGGAUGACGGCCUUCGGGUGGUAAACCGCUUUCGCCUGUGACGAAGCGAGAGUGACGGUAAUGGGUAAAGAAGCACCGGCUAACUACGUG